AUUGAACGCUGGCGGCAGGCCUAACACAUGCAAGUCGAACGGAGCGGCGGACGGGUGAGUAAUGCCUCGGAAUCUGCCUGGUCGUGGGGGAUAACGUCCGGUAACGGGCGCUAAUACCGCAUACUAUCAGAUGAGCCUAGGUCGGGUUAGCUAGGUGGUGGGGUAAAGGCCUACAAAGGCGACGAUCCGUAACUGGUCUGAGAGGAUGAUCAGUCACAGUGGAACUGAGACACGGUCCAGACGCCGACGGGAGGCAGCAGUGGGGAAUAUUGGACAAUGGGCGAAAGCCUGAUCCAGCAAGGCCGCGGGUGUGAAGAAUGUCUUCGGAUUGUAAAGCACUUUAAGUUGGGAGGCGUUACCAACAGAAUAAGCACCGGCUAACUUCGUGCCAGCAGCCGCGGUAAUAC
rnacentral:rRNA from 1 species